AUUGAACGCUGGCGGCAGGCCUAACACAUGCAAGUCGAGCGGAGCGGCGGACGGGUGCGUAAUGCCUAGGAAUCUGCCUGGUAGUGGGGGAUAACGUCCAGAAACGGACGCUAAUACCGCAUCCUAUCAGAUUAGCCUAGGUCGGGUUAGCUAGUUGGUGGGGUAAAGGCCUACCAAGGCGACGAUCCGUAACUGGUCUGAGAGGAUGAUCAGUCACACGGGAACUGAGACACGGUCCAGACUCCUACGGGAGGCAGCAGUGGGGAAUAUUGGACAAUGGGCGAAAGCCUGAUGCAGCCAUGCCGCGUGUGUGAAGAAGGUCUUCGGAUUGUAAAGCACUUUAAGUUGGGAGGCGUUACCAACAGAAUAAGCACCGGCUAACUCCGUGCCAGCAGCCGCGGUAAUUC
rnacentral:rRNA from 1 species